UACGUAGGGGGCCAGCGUUGUUCGGAAUUACUGGGUGUAAAGGGUUCGUAGGCGGUGCGGCAAGUUGGGAGUGAAAUCUCUGGGCUUAACCCAGAGGCUGCUUUCAAAACUGCUGUGCUUGAGUGUGAGAGAGGCUCGUGGAAUUGCAGGUGUAGCGGUGAAAUGCGUAGAUAUCUGGAGGAACACCGGUGGCGAAGGCGGCAUCCUGGACCAACACUGACGCUGAGUGAGCGAAAGCCAGGGGAGCAAACGGG
rnacentral:rRNA from 1 species